rnacentral:rRNA from 1 species
GAGAUGGAAGCGGAUAGAGCUAGCGUAUCUGGCCUGGAUUCAGCCGUAGGUUUGUUAAUGCCCGGAGUGUUCGGUCUCCAGAUUGGGAUCGGCGUUUGGGUUGUUGGCUAACUUAUGGUGCAUUUUCAGGUGGUGUGCGCCGAGAGCCCUGGGAUGGCUUCAUGAAUCUAGUCUUGAGGCCAGCUUGCUGGUACCCAGAUUGGACUAGUGUUGUUCAUCCUAGGGUUUGUUUGUUUCUGACAUGGCAUACGGGCUCGGGUGGGGUUGAGCUGGAGGUCGGUUACGAUCGCAUGCGAUACGUGCUGUGCAUUCAGUUCGGUCCUAUUCGAGCUCUCAUGGCUAUUCUCGGUGUAAAAGCUGGUCACCUAUCCGACCCGUCUUGAAACACGGACCAAGGAGUUUAUCGUGUGCGCGAGUCAUUGGGCGUUUAAAACCCAAAGGCGCAAUGAAAGUGAAUGCAUCCGCAAGGAGCUGACGUGCGAUCUUAGACACCUCGGUGUCCGAGAGCAGCAUGGCCCCAUCCUGACUGCAUGCAGUGGGGUGGAGGUAGAGCGUACACGGUGAGACCCGAAAGAUGGUGAACUAUUCCUGAGCAGCAUGAAGCCAGA